CAUAUGAAGGUGGUUACCAUGUACAAAGAAAAUUUGCUCUGGAAGUUGAAAGAAUAGGCAGAGUUGGUAAACCAGCUUUACCUAUCAACUCCAAUCAUCCAUAUUUCAUUUCUACUUGCCAAAAUCCACAACAUGUUAUCCGAGGAUUCCGAAGGAGUUUGUGAGAAAGUAUGGACUGAAUACGGAGACAGGUAUAAGUGCUCCGAGAUCCCGAUGGAAGGUCAUGGCCAGUAAAAUUUGCACACAAUAAAGACGGUCGUAUCAGUAUGACCAAAGGGAUGGACACAAACUUCAGCAGGAAAUAAGUUAGCAAGAAGUGCUAAAUGUUUGUUCGAACUUAUUAGCCAAACAAAAGGUAAUCAAAUCAUGAAUGUUCGCAUCUUGGGAGAGGCUGAAGUUGACAAACGGGAUUGGGAGCUUAAGAGUAAUAGGAAACGCGUACAUCACUUGGGUUCUAAGUUGGAAGUUGGAAGUUUCAAGAGAGGGAUUACGACGGUUAUAAAAGAAGCUAACGGUUUUCAGUCUAAGUAUCCUGUAUGCAAAAUUAUCAUGCAUCCAACCUAUGUGGGUAAAUGGGGCGCCGUGAAUAUACCUGCUGAAUUUGCCAAGACAUAUUUGAGAGAUCGAAAUCAGAUGGCUAUUCUUAGGAUUUCAGAUGGAAGAGUGUGGCAUGUCGGAUAUAGAACUAGUGGCUCUUCGUCAAGUUGAAGGAAGGUGAUGUUUGCCUGUUUGAGCUAGUCGAUAGGGACAAUCUGGAGAUGCAUGUCACUAUUUGUCGAGUCACUCCAAAUGUUAACUAGCUAAAAUACA